rnacentral:rRNA from 1 species
UACGUAGGGUGCAAGCGUUGUCCGGAAUUAUUGGGCGUAAAGAGCUCGUAGGCGGUCUGUCGCGUCUGCUGUGAAAACUCAGGGCUUAACCCUGAGCUUGCAGUGGGUACGGGCAGACUAGAGUGCGGUAGGGGAGACUGGAAUUCCUGGUGUAGCGGUGAAAUGCGCAGAUAUCAGGAAGAACACCCGUGGCGAAGGCGGCUCUCUGGGACGGUACUGACGCUGAGGCGCGAAAGCGUGGGGAGCAAACAGG